ACUUUGAGUUUAGUUUGAGAGUGUUUAGAGUGUAAGUUUAGCAUUUUUUUUUUUUUUUUAUUUUUUUACAAAAGAAGAGAAGUAGAAGAGUGAGUCAAAGAAAAAGAAAUUGGAAGCUAGCAAGGUAUUGAAGAAACUUUCGUAACCAACGAGCAACCAGAGACAUUUGAAGAUUUCUGGCUGAUAUAAAAAAGUUAGAAUUUGCUUUGUUAUAAGUCCAUUUGUAUUUUCAUUUUCUGUUGGGAUUGUAAUAAUGAUAUAACCUUGUUUUGUAAUAAAAAUUUGUAACUCUGUAAUAUUAUUUGCUUAUAUGCAUAUGAAUAUUUUUGUGAUCCUAUACC